rnacentral:rRNA from 1 species
AUACUGGAUACUACCGUCCAUCGCAUGGUGGGUGGUGGAAAGGGUUUUACUGGUUUUGGAUGGGCUCACGGCCUAUCAGCUUGUUGGUGGGGUAAUGGCUCACCAAGGCGACGACGGGUAGCCGGCCUGAGAGGGUGACCGGCCACACUGGGACUGAGACACGGCCCAGACUCCUACGGGAGGCAGCAGUGGGGAAUAUUGCACAAUGGGCGGAAGCCUGAUGCAGCGACGCCGCGUGAGGGAUGACGGCCUUCGGGUUGUAAACCUCUUUCAGUAGGGAAGAAGCGAGAGUGACGGUACCUGCAGAAGAAGCGCCGGCUAACUACGUGCCAGCAGCCGCGGUAAUACGUAGGGCGCAAGCGUUGUCCGGAAUUAUUGGGCGUAAAGAGCUCGUAGGCGGUUUGUCGCGUCUGCUGUGAAAGCCCGGGGCUCAACCCCGGGUCUGCAGUGGGUACGGGCAGACUAGAGUGCAGUAGGGGAGACUGGAAUUCCUGGUGUAGCGGUGAAAUGCGCAGAUAUCAGGAGGAACACCGAUGGCGAAGGCAGGUCUCUGGGCUGUUACUGACGCUGAGGAGCGAAAGCAUGGGGAGCGAACAGGAUUAGAUACCCUGGUAGUCCAUGCCGUAAACGUUGGGCACUAGGUGUGGGGGACAUUCCACGUUUUCCGCGCCGUAGCUAACGCAUUAAGUGCCCCGCCUGGGGAGUACGGCCGCAAGGCUAAAACUCAAAGGAAUUGACGGGGGCCCGCACAAGCGGCGGAGCAUGCGGAUUAAUUCGAUGCAACGCGAAGAACCUUACCAAGGCUUGACAUUCACCGGACCGCCUCAGAGAUGGGGUUUCCCUUCGGGGUCGGUGGACAGGUGGUGCAUGGUUGUCGUCAGCUCGUGUCGUGAGAUGUUGGGUUAAGUCCCGCAACGAGCGCAACCCUCGUUCUAUGUUGCCAGCACGUGAUGGUGGGGACUCAUAGGAGACUGCCGGGGUCAACUCGGAGGAAGGUGGGGAUGACGUCAAAUCAUCAUGCCCCUUAUGUCUUGGGCUUCACGCAUGCUACAAUGGCCGGUACAAAGGGUUGCGAUACUGUGAGGUGGAGCUAAUCCCAAAAAGCCGGUCUCAGUUCGGAUUGAGGUCUGCAACUCGACCUCAUGAAGUCGGAGUCGCUAGUAAUCGCAGAUCAGCAACGCUGCGGUGAAUACGUUCCCGGGCCUUGUACACACCGCCCGUCAAGUCACG